rnacentral:misc_RNA from 1 species
GAUGAAGAACGCAGCGAAAUGCGAUAAGUAAUGUGAAUUGCAGAAUUCAGUGAAUCAUCGAAUCUUUGAACGCACAUUGCGCCCGCCAGUAUUCUGGCGGGCAUGCCUGUUCGAGCGUCAUUACAACCCUCAGGCCCCCGGGCCUGGCGUUGGGGAUCGGCGGAGCCCCCCGUGGGCACACGCCGUCCCCCAAAUACAGUGGCGGUCCCGCCGCAGCUUCCAUCGCGUAGUAGCUAACACCUCGCGACUGGAGAGCGGCGCGGCCACGCCAUAAAACACCCAACUCUUCUGAAGUUGACCUCGAAUCAGGUAGGAAUACCCGCUGAACUUAAGCAUAUCAAUAAGCGGAGGA